rnacentral:rRNA from 1 species
GGAUUAGAUACCCUGGUAGUCCAUGCCCUAAACGAUGUGUACUAGUUCGAGGAGGUUUUGACGCCAUCUCGGACGAAGCUAAAGUAUUAAGUACACCGCCUGGGGAGUACGGUCGCAAGGCUAAAACUCAAAGGAAUUGACGGGGACUCACACAAGCGGUGGAGCAUGUGGCUUAAUUCGAAGCAACGCGAAGAACCUUAUCCUGGGUUUGACAUGGACGGAUUAGCUUUCCGAAAAGAAAGUGACACUCUCUGAGUGGAACGUUCACAGGUGCUGCAUGGCUGUCGUCAGCUCGUGCCG